rfam:Ictidomys tridecemlineatus contig093556, whole genome shotgun sequence.
AUCCUUUUGUGGUUCAUUAGCUUUAUUGUUCACAUUAUUGUACGAGAUGUUCCUCCUUCAAACCUUGCUGUUACAUUGGCGCAUUAGCACUCUGAUG